AAUCCACUGGGCUUCUGGGAAGCACCCGGGGUAAGGCUGCUAGCUGAAGACAGGUUUCAGGAAACGCGUGACCGAAGGCAGAUUCCAGACCCAGUGAAGUUUGAAAGGUGGGAGCCUGAACUCAGGUAACACCGACAGGAAACUGAUGUCUGCCGAAGGCCAGAGUGGCUGGCCUGUCAGGAGUUCAGCAAAAACACAGCCAGCAGCCCAGAUGUCGACCGAAGAACCAUACUGUGUGUCUCCCACGAGAAGCUCAGGAGCUCGGUACCACCUGGUGGCGACAUAAUCGGUGUAGGCAUCUCCCGGAACUGCAAAGGCAUCAAGGCAUCGAGCAGAUCAGAAAACUUGGAAAAUGCAAAAAGCAUAAAGAAGAAAACAAAAAUCACCUCCCACUCAGAAAAACCAGGUUUGAUAAUGACUGAUUCUUCAGAUUACCUAGAUCACCCAGUCAUAUCAACCAAAGUGCUGAAUAUAAUAAAAUAAAGCUUCAGGAACAGUGCUUUACCAGGUAAUCUUGAAAUACUUUCUCUCUAAACCUCUUAUAUGUUCAUGGAAGAUGAACUUCCACAAAGUAUCUAUGGCUCUAGUUCCAGGUUACUAGGGUCUACCAGUUUCUAGAAGCAGCAAUUCCUAAUCUCUUACCUAAAAUC